CGUACGGGUGCGGAACACGUGUGCAACCUGCCUUUAUCAGGGGGAUAGCCUUUCGAAAGGAAGAUUAAUACCCCAUAAUAUAUUAACUGGCAUCAGUNNAUAUUGAAAACUACGGUGGAUAGAGAUGGGCACGCGCAAGAUUAGCUAGUUGGUGAGGUAACGGCUCACCAAGGGGACGAUCUUUAGGGGGCUUGAGAGGGUGAUCCGCCACACUGGUACUGAGACACGGACCAGACUCCUACGGGAGGCAGCAUGAGGAAUAUUGGACAAUGGGGAAGCCUGAUCCAGCCAUCCCGCGUGCAGGAAGACGGCCCUAUGGGUUGUAAACUGUUUUAUCUGGGGGUAAACCUACUACGUGUAAGUAGCUGAAGGUACCAGAAGAAUAAGCACCGGCUAACUCCGUGCCACAGCCGCGGUAAUACGGAGGUGCAAGCGUUAUCCGGAUUUAUUGGGUUUAAAGGGUCCGUAGGCGGACUAGUAAGUCAGUGGUGAAAUCCGACAGCUUAAUGUCGAACUGCCAUU
rnacentral:rRNA from 1 species